rnacentral:rRNA from 1 species
AAAUUGAAGAGUUUGAUCAUGGCUCAGAUUGAACGCUGGCGGCAGGCCUAACACAUGCAAGUCGAACGGUAACAGAAAGCAGCUUGCUGCUUUGCUGACGAGUGGCGGACGGGUGAGUAAUGUCUGGGAAACUGCCUGAUGGAGGGGGAUAACUACUGGAAACGGUAGCUAAUACCGCAUAACGUCGCAAGACCAAAGAGGGGGACCUUCGGGCCUCUUGCCAUCGGAUGUGCCCAGAUGGGAUUAGCUAGUAGGUGGGGUAACGGCUCACCUAGGCGACGAUCCCUAGCUGGUCUGAGA